rnacentral:rRNA from 1 species
GGUGAUCCUGCCAGCUGUUCAUACGCUCUUUAAGCUCAAAGAUUAAGCCAUGCAAGUGGUUCAUUUGAACCCGACAGUUUAAAUAAGUGUUAUAUAGCUAUAAACACACAGCGAAUAUCACAACACGUGAUCAUGUGCCUUCGUGGCGCGUAUCACUUAUGCAACUGCAGACAGCUGCUUAAUACAGUCACACUUGUCUUGACUUGGUGAAUAUACAUAACACCCCUCGAGAAAUAAAAUUAUCUACGGAUAAUUCAGGGAAAGUUUGGCUAAUACGUACGAGUAAUAUAAUCAACACACACACACAUUACUCAGCACUCGAUAGGACGUUCGCGGGCACUCAAUAUGAACAAAUAUCGAGCACGCACGGGCGGCUGCUUUCGCGGCAGGCGCCCAUUUUACGCUGAGCAAAUAUUGUUUCAAUUUAACUGAGACGAUAUAUGUUAUACAAGUAUCUAUAGCAUCAGGUCAUAGGGUUGGCACGUGUAUUAUUGAACCUUCAAAGCAGUAACGCAUACGGAAGAGUAGUUUCUGAUCCCAUAGAAGGAGCACCGUACAAUGAGAGACCGCUCUUAGUUCUAAGGAACGCAGCAGGCGCGUAAAUUGCCCAAUGUAAUAACACAUACAUAUAUAUNCAAUAUGUGCGCAUAGCUAUACACACACACUAUUUNAACUAACAAUAACCUUGUNGCACACACCACGUAUAUUANUUACGCGGCAGUGACAAGCUGUAACGGUUGAGUAUAUAAUUAUUGACGAGUGUUAGCGUUGCCGCGUGCUCUCGGGCGCGCUAUGGCAUACUGCCAACACUUUGUGUGCUCAAUUGGAAUGCGGUGAGUUUAAGUAUCUCAGAAUCUGUAUAACAUGUACGCCUCGACGUGCAUGUUGUGCGUAUCUGAAUUUUCAAGUGGAGGGCAAGUCUGGUGCCAGCAGCCGCGGUAAUACCAGCUCCACUGGCCUAUACAAUCAUUGUUGCGGUUAAGAGGCUCGUAGUUGGAUUGAACAAAAAAAAUAAACCUCGACACACACACACACUCAGCGUCGAACCACCAUAUUCAACACUGUGAACAAAUCAGAACGUAUCAAAUAUGUCGUAUAACCCUACGCGCAUUGUAUGCCCCGUCAUGGAAUGUUGCCUCUAUAGAGUCUAUACACACACAUAUUAUAUAUACACACUAUGUGUCGAUGGGGAUAGCUGGAAUCAACAGUACUACUGGGCGAGCGGUGAAAUGCAUUGACCCUAGUAAGACUACCAAAAGCGAAAGCAGUUGGUUAGGCUAUACCCUUUGUGCCGCGUGACAUACACUCUACACGCACACACCCACAGAGAAUAUGCACGCCCACUUUACAAUGAAGAACGAAGGCUGGGGGAUCAAAGAGGAUCAGAUACCCUUCGUUCGUCCCAUUAGUUACAUCAAACUAUGGGCUCUCAAUUGCUCUCAGUUUAACCUGUCGAGUAAUAUUAUGAUCUCAUACCCUGACCUGCAAACCUGUAUGGCUUGAGCCUCCCCGCUCGCUGUACUAAACUGUAUCGGUCUCAGUAUAGACAUAUCUACUCACCAUAUAAAUAAAGUCAUGUCAGCACUCUAUCAAUGUAACAGUUGAUUUCGCAGACAUAAGAUUUUAUGAACUUUGCGCUCAGUUAAUAUACGGUGAGAUGUAAGCAUCGUAAGCAUAAUGUGUUAGUGCGCAUCCGCUCUCGGGCGCGAUCCACUCGCAUUUUUGCUUAAUAUAUGGUGUGAAGCACGUGUUAGGUACGCGCUUACUGCAGAAAUGUCUGAGACACUCCUUCCUGGGGUAGUAUGCACGCAAGUGUGAAACUUGAAGGAAUUGACGGAAGGGCACCACAAGAACGCGUGGAGCAUGUGGCUUAAUUUGACUCAACGCGGGAAAUCUUACCGGGUCCGGACACACUGAGGAUUGACAGAUAUACGCUCAUUGCAUGUGCUUCGGCGCUGCUUUGAGCUGAAAGAUGCUAGUUCUUUCAUGAUUAUGUGAUAGGUGGUGCAUGGCCGUUCUUAGUUCGUGGAGUGAUCUGUCUGCUUAAUUGCGUAUCAAUAAUAGAGACCUAGUAUACGCGUGGAUUUCGCGUGGUAGUGACCCCCUGUUUCAACGCAGGCGUGUGUCGCACACGCGUGCCGCGCACUGGUCUCAGAUAGCAACGAACGUGACCGUAUUCUAUUGUUGCAGUGAAUAUGUGUGCCUUCGGGCGUACGACCCACUGCUUAGUAUAUGCACGCCUCGGCGAGCAAUAUACAUUAAACUAUAGAGACCGCUGUUUCUUCUUUAAACCAGAGGAAGGAUACGGCAAUAACAGGUCUGUGAUGCCCUCAGAUGUUCCGGGCUGCACACGUGCUACAAUGAUCAUUGCACUGUGCAUCUAACCCAAUGUGCGUGGACGCCGCAUGUUUGUGCCUUCGGGUACACGCAUUGCUGAGCGACCACGCCGAACCUACUUCGAAAGUAAAAUUUCUCUGUGGGUAAUCCAUUAGAAGUAAUGACUCGCAUAGACCAUGGCACACCAAAUGUACGCGCAGGUCUACCCGGCUCGCCUUUGUGUGAGUGCAGUGCGUAGCUUGUUGUUUCGUACGUGCCACUCCGUAUUAAUUCGUACGUGGGGAUAGAUCAUUGUUUAAUUGUUGGUCUCGGUCUUAACUAGGAAUGCCUUGUACGGGUCUCUGGUUCAACAUACCACCCGGAAUACGUCCCUGCCCUUUGUACACACCGCCCGUCGCUCUUACCGAUGGAUUAUGCUAUGAAUCUAUAGGACUGCCAAAGUUGCCUCGGCUGCUUAGUGGAAAUAUAUAUGAAUAGCGUGAUCUAAAGGAAAGAGAAGUCGUAACAAGGCAUCGGUAGGUGAACCU